rnacentral:rRNA from 1 species
UGGGCGUCGAGCGGCGGACGGGUGAGUAAUGCCUAGGAAAUUGCCUUGAUGUGGGGGAUAACCAUUGGAAACGAUGGCUAAUACCGCAUAAUGCCUACGGGCCAAAGAGGGGGAUCUUCGGACCUCUCGCGUCAAGAUAUGCCUAGGUGGGAUUAGCUAGUUGGUGAGGUAAUGGCUCACCAAGGCGACGAUCCCUAGCUGGUCUGAGAGGAUGAUCAGCCACACUGGAACUGAGACACGGUCCAGACUCCUACGGGAGGCAGCAGUGGGGAAUAUUGCACAAUGGGCGAAAGCCUGAUGCAGCCAUGCCGCGUGUAUGAAGAAGGCCUUCGGGUUGUAAAGUACUUUCAGUUGUGAGGAAGGUGUGUGUAGUUAAUAGCUGCGCAUGCUUGCACGUUAGCAACAGAAGAAGCA